CCUACGGGUGGCUGCAGUAGGGAAUAUUGGUCAAUGGGUGAGAGCCUGAACCAGCCAUGCCGCGUGCAGGAAGACGGCCUUCUGGGUUGUCAACUGCUUUUAUCUGGGGAUAAAAAGGCCUUGCGAGGCACAUUGAAGGUACCAGAUGAAUAAGCACCGGCUAACUACGUGCCAGCAGCCGCGGUAAUACGUAGGGUUCACGCGUUUACUGGAUUUAUUGGGUUUAUAGGGUGUCUAUUCGGUCAGUUGUGAAAUCCAACAGCUCAACUGGUGAUGUGCCAAUGAUACUGAUGGACUUGAGUACAGACGAGGUAGGCGGAAUUGACAGUGUAGCGGUGAAAUGCAUAGAUAUUGUCAAGAACACCGAUAGCGAAGGCAGCUUGCUAGCCUGUAACUGACGCUGAGGCACGAAAGUAUGGGGAUCAAACAGGAUUAGAUACCCUAGUAGUC
rnacentral:rRNA from 1 species